AUGCAUCUCUUCAGUCGUGUACUUCAGGGUGAUAUUUACAUCAAUUACCAUGACAUUCUCAAGAAAUAUUUUUUUCAAGAUUUUGUGUAUCAUUUACCACAAGCUUUUUUUUCUUCUUUUUCCAUUUUUCAUAAGACUCAGGAAGGACAAAUACAGCCCAGUCUGUGCAGGGGCAAGGGAAGUGGAACGGCCGCAGAACCCCAUGACAUCAGCACCUGGUGGCUCAGCACGUUCUCACCUCUCCUUCUCCCUGUGAAUCUCCAUCCAAGCACAUGCCUCACAGCUUGUCAUCACCCAGGAGUAAGAGACUGCGUGGGGCUGAAGACCUUUCAGUUGAGGAGAGUUCCGUAUCAACCAGUCAAGAUGGCAAAGCUGAUGGCAUCAGGUAAUUACUCAAGUAUUCUGUGGUCAGACUGAGCUGCAAGAUGAAAGCUGCUGAGUUAUCUGGAUGCACCUAGUGAGGAAAAUGGAGGAGCGCUUAUCUUGAAGUUACCUAACACCGUGGAGUCAAACCAAUUUGACAAAGGUGGAAUCAAAAACUCCUGAUAAAUAACAGGAUUUCUACUAGGUCUAUAAGAGAAUUGGUGAAGAUAAGUAAGGAAAGCCACUUUGCAUUAGAAUACACAGUUUAAUUAAAGUCAAAAUGAGUUUAUUUCACCACUAUGAUUUUAGUUAAAAAAAAAUUCAAAAUAUCUAAUUUGGUCUUUUAUAUCUCAUUUUUAUAAUGCCAAAAUGAAUUAAAAGUUUCACAUAAACCAUGUUUUCCACAUUUCUGCAUUUGUUUCACUAAGUAUGAUAGUCCUACUACGUUGUCUCUGUAUUUCCUGUAUUAUAAUUUUUUUAACAUCAUUUUAAAGUAAUUCAUAUGGUGUCAUAUAUGUAUGUAUAUUAUUCAUUCAUUGCAAUUAGCAUUGAUACAGGACUACCCACUUUAAAAUUAACAAAACAUUUUUGCCUGCUCUUGUAACAAUUUGUAGCAAUCUUAUAGAGUGAGAGUCUCUAAGAUUUGCAUGAUCUCAAACAGAUUUAAUAUAUAUAUUUUCUCUGAAAGACGUUUUGUCUAUUUAUUCCUAGUCAUAACAAUCUCAAGUAUUCAAGCACCCACCAGAACACAUAAUCAUAUAGUAAGAACAUUUGCCAAAAUAUUUUUUUUCCAGAUCUGCAUGGCAUUUUACAUUCAGUUUUUUUGUAUUCCUUACAUACAGCUAUGUAACAGAGUUACAUUUGAAUGAAUAGUUGAAGUCACCGUACUGAUCAUUCUACAGCUCUGAUUUCAUCUGUCACAUUAAAUUUAUCAUUCUCAAAUUCCCAUUUCCCUGCUUUGUAAGUUUAUAUUGGUCUCACUAGCUUUGUACCUGACCAAUGAUUCUGCAAGAAUAUUAAACUACUAGUUUAAUCUUGACAUUGUAAUUGACAAUUUCAUUGUAAAUUGGGCCACUUACUCGAAUCCAUCUCUACUGACACAAGUCUAAUUAAACUGACUGUUUAAUCCUUGGCAACUUGCUAUUUCCCAGAGGUGAGUCUAGAGCUUUUUGCAGAUUUGUGUUUCUCCUCUGUCUUUGAUACUUAAUGAUGAUUUCUACCAUCAUCUCAACGUUUCUUAUAUGAAUUCUUGGUACAUAGUUUACCUUCUUGCAAGCAACAUUCCUUCAAGAACCACCUGUGUUUUGAUUUGUAUCAUCCAGAAAAUAGCAGAGGAUGUAAAAUUUAAAAGUAAAGUGUACUAGACUGUCCUACAUGUAAAAUUAUUUUACUUUGGCUCACAGCCACGCAGCCACAAGAGAAGACAAUGUGCGUCACAAAUGUACCUAAAGGUUGAAUCAGAAAUGAGAAAUAUUUUGUGUUCUGAUUUGUGCAUUUUGGUACACACCUUCGCUAAAGAUAUAACCCCCCCUACCCUCUGUCUAAAUGAUUCUUAUUUCCUGAUUUACUUUAUAUUGUAACCAUCUUUUAACAAGGUCUUAUCAUUCAAGUUUCCUCACCAGGGAAGUCCAAGUGCCAGGCCACGCACUUCUCAUUUUCAGGAACUGGUUUGUUCGCUUAUCCUCCUUUCCUAUCCACAAGCAUGUCCGAUCAAGGUGAGGACUUCUUCACAACCUGCAAAAUUGCUAACUAAAAAGAGGUGUAUCUGAUACCUUAUUAUAACUAGGUCUGUCUUCUCAUUCACCAUGGCACAGGAAACAGUUCACGUUAGCACCUGAACAAGGAUAAUCUCUGAAGUUUAUGGCCAUUAUAUCCAUCGUCAGCAGUAAAGAAGUAAAGGAGAAAACAAACAAACAAGUGAACAUAAACCAGACAGUAAUAAUGUACACAUCUUCAACUUGAACUAGGGCUGCAAUUUUUUGACUGAAAAAGUGGCUCGAAAUCAUAAUUUCAAAUAACUGAAAGUAGUACUCAUUGCAAGAAACAUGGCAAUAACACCGUGCCUCUAAAUUUCAGCAACUACAGCUACUACUCAAAAAGCAUGGGUAGGACAUCGUGUUGAGUUGCUUUGGUGUUUAUCCAGCUAGGAGUAUGCCAUUAAAAUCAAGUGACAGUUUCAUAAGCCUAAAGCCUUUCUAGGUUCACAAGUUCCCUGAUUCACUUCUCAAUAAAAUUACAGCUGAACAAUGCA
rnacentral:lncRNA from 1 species